rnacentral:rRNA from 1 species
GACGAACGCUGGCGGCGUGCCUAAUACAUGCAAGUAGAACGCACAGUUUAUACCGUAGCUUGCUCCACCAUAGACUGUGAGUUGCGAACGGGUGAGUAACGCGUAGGUAACCUGCCUGGUAGCGGGGGAUAACUAUUGGAAACGAUAGCUAAUACCGCAUAAUAUUGAUUAUUGCAUGAUAAUUGAUUGAAAGAUGCUAUUGCAUCACUACCAGAUGGACCUGCGUUGUACUAGCUAGUAGGUGAGGUAACGGCUCACCUAGGCGACGAUACAUAGCCGACCUGAGAGGGUGAUCGGCCACACUGGGACUGAGACACGGCCCAGACUCCUACGGGAGGCAGCAGUAGGGAAUCUUCGGCAAUGGACGAAAGUCUGACCGAGCAACGCCGCGUGAGUGAAGAAGGUUUUCGGAUCGUAAAGCUCUGUUGUAAGAGAAGAACGGGUGUGAGAGUGGAAAGUUCACACUGUGACGGUAUCUUACCAGAAAGGGACGGCUAACUACGUG